UACAGAGGUCUCAAGCGUUGUUCGGAUUCAUUGGGCGUAAAGGGUGCGUAGGCGGGUCUUUAAGUCAGGGGUGAAAUCCUGGAGCUCAACUCCAGAACUGCCUUUGAUACUGAGGAUCUUGAGUUCGGGAGAGGUGAGUGGAACUGCGAGUGUAGAGGUGAAAUUCGUAGAUAUUCGCAAGAACACCAGUGGCGAAGGCGGCUCACUGGCCCGAUACUGACGCUGAGGCACGAAAGCGUGGGGAGCAAACAGGGAUUAAGAAACCCCGAGUA
rnacentral:rRNA from 1 species